UUCAGUUUGCAGAGUUUAGAAGUUUCAACCAAGUCUUCAGGAUGCGAAAAUUGUAGUGUUGAUAUGGAGGCAAAGAAGAACUUAACCCUCUUAAAUAUAAACGCGUCGAGUUGCAUCGACUACAUCAACAGGACGUACCUCUGCAAAUGUAGCGGUUUAAAGAUGUACGCCAUUUUUUUCAGGGAUAAUUUUACUUUUUCUUACCCUGGUUCGGUUAAGAAAUGCUGCGAGUUUGGAAUGCGGCUGUUGUCACCAUUGAAUUACGUCAAAGCUGUAGAAUGCAUUAGUGUCCUGCUCGCAAACGCAUCCUACCUUCCAGGAAUUUGGGCGGUCACCAAUGGGAUGGUGGUGGACGUGACGAGUGGGUUCAGUUUUGACUGCGAGAGCCAGACAUCUUUUUUCCCGCAAAAAUUGAUCCCGAGUCUUGAACAAAAAAUAAUAAGCCCGAACAAGGCCUUCGACGGUGGGCCGCUGGCCUUUUAUUUGUCUCAUUUUACUAACCGGCCAGAAUUUUCACCCAUUUCAGUGAAUACUAGAAAUUCUUUCAUA